GAUUAAAAAAAAGAUGGAGCUGGGGUUUUCUUCUGUGGCCAUGGUGGACAGGACUAGAAGCCAUGGUCCUAAGCUGCAGCAGGGGAAAUUUAGGUUGGAGAGUAGGAGG